UUGACCUCAGAUCAGGUAGGGAUACCGCCUGAACUUAAGCAUAUCAAUAAGGCGAGGAACAGAAACCAACUGGGAUUCCCUCAGUAGUGGCGAACGAAGCGGGAAGAGCUCAAGUUUGAAAUCUGAGGGGCAGCCUUCAGAGUUGUAAGCUGAAGAGGCGUCGACCGACUUGGCCCGAGCCCAAUUCUCUUGGAACAGAGAGUCGUGGAGGGUGAGAACCCCGUCCGUGGCUCGGGAGCCUAGUCCUAGCGUCGUGCCCUCGAAGAGUCGGGUUGUUUGGGAAUGCAGCUCAAAAUGGGUGGUAAAUUUCAUCUAAGGCUAAAUAUUGGCGAGAGACCGAUAGCGAACAAGUAGAGUGAUCGAAGGAUGAAAAGCACUUUGAAAAGAGAGUGAAACAGUACGUGAAAUUGUUGAAAGGGAAGCGUUUGGCAUCAGCCCGUGGCGUCCGUCGAUCAUCUGUGCCUCUGCACGGUGCACUCGGCGGUCGUCGGGCCAACGUCGUCUCCGUCCGCUGGAGAAAGGCCUUGGGAAUGUGGCUCUCUGGAGCGUUAUAGCCCUCGGCGCAAUGCGGCGGAUGGGGUCGAGGUCUGCGGUCAACCGAGGACG
rnacentral:rRNA from 1 species